rnacentral:rRNA from 1 species
GACGAACGCUGGCGGCGUGCCUAACACAUGCAAGUCGAACGGAAAGGCCCGGGUCUUCUGGGGUGCGCGAGUUGCGAACUGGUGAGUAACACGUGUGUAACCUGUCCUUGACGUUGGGAUAACGUCAUGACACUUGGGCUAAUACGGGAUAGGAGUUCCCGCUGCAUGGUGGGGGCUGGAAAGAUUCGGCGGUUGGGGAUGGACUCGCGGCUUAUCAGCUCGUUGGUGGGGUAGUGGCUUACCAUGGCUAUGACGGGUAGCCGGCCUGAGAGGGUGACAGGCCACAUUGGGACUGAGAUAAGGCACAGACUCCUCCGGGAGGCAGCAGUGGGGAAUAUUGCACAAUGGGCGGAAGCCUGACGCAGCAACGCCGCGUGCGGGAUGACGGCCUUCGGGUUGUAAACCGCUUUCGCCUGUGACGAAGCGUGAGUGACGGUAAUGGGUAAAGAAGCACCGGCUAACUACGUG